rnacentral:rRNA from 1 species
GAACCAGCCAUGCCGCGUGAAGGAUGAAGGUCCUCUGGAUUGUAAACUUCUUUUAUCUGGGACGAAAAAAGGCCAUUCUUUCCCACUUGACGGUACCAGAGGAAUAAGCACCGGCUAACUCCGUGCCAGCAGCCGCGGUAAUACGGAGGGUGCAAGCGUUAUCCGGAUUCACUGGGUUUAAAGGGUGCGUAGGUGGACUGGUAAGUCAGUGGUGAAAUCUCCGAGCUUAACUCGGAAACUGCCAUUGAUACUAUCUGUCUUGAAUUUCCUGGAGGUAAGCGGAAUAUGUCAUGUAGCGGUGAAAUGCUUAGAUAUGACAUAGAACACCAAUUGCGAAGGCAGCUUACUACGGGAACAUUGACACUGAGGCACGAAAGCGUGGGGAUCAAACAGGAUUAGAUACCCUGGUAGUCCACGCCCUAAACGAUGAUUACUCGACAUACGCGAUACACUGUGAGUGYCUGAGCGAAAGCAUUAAGU